GUCGGCCGGGCUCCUGGGCCCGGGCGCAGCGCGCACCGGGGGCUGGCGGCGGCGGGGGCGGGGGCGGCGCGCGGCGGCCAAUGGCGC
rnacentral:miRNA from 1 species